AGUGAACGCUGGCGGUAGGCCUAACACAUGCAAGUCGAACGGCAGCACAGUGAGCGCUUGCUCUUACGGUUGGCGGGUGGCGGACGGGUGACGCAUGCAUCGGCUUCUUCUUUUUCGUGGGUGAUAUCGGGGGGAAACUGAUGCUAAUACCGCAUAUGUCCUACGGCUGAAAUCAGUAGAUCUUCGCACCUUUCCCGAUUGAUUUAGCCGGUUUCGAAUUAGCUAGUUGGCAUGGUAAAGGCCCACCAAGGCGACGAUCCGUAGCGGGUCUGAGAGGAUGAUCGGCCACACUGGAACUGAGACACGGUCCAGACUCCUACGGGAGGCAGCAGUAGGGAAUAUUCGGCAAUGGGCGAAAGCCUGAUCCAGCCAUACCGCGUGGGUGAAGAAGGCCUUCGGGUCGUAAAGCCCUUUUAUUAGGAAAGAACAGAAGUAGAAUAAACCCUGGCUGUUUUGACGGUACCCAAAGAAAAAGCACCGGCUAACUUCGUG
rnacentral:rRNA from 1 species